ACCUGAGUGGUUCAGUCGGUUGAGCGUCUGACUUCGGCUCAGGUUAUGAUCCGCGGUUCGUGAGUUCAAGCCCCACAUCGGGCU
rnacentral:tRNA from 1 species